AGGAUAAUAGUUAAUAAAAUAACGUUUAAGUUGCAUUUAAAAAUAAUCAAUUUUUGAUUUAUCUUA
rnacentral:tRNA from 1 species